CAUUAAACUAUUCAUCUUCCCCAACCUCUCCAUCCCCCUCUCUUUACGAUAAAAAAUUCAAGCGAAUAAUCAUAAAACAAUGGGAUCUCUAUAAAUAAGUGAGAGAUUAGCUUUGAAUCCAACUCUCAUACACACAACUAUCAACCUGUUGCUCACAAUGCAACCUUUUACAAUCUCGGCCUUGGUCGGUCUUCUCACGUGAUUGUUCGUCGUCUCCUCCGUUUAUGAGAUUCAUGAAACAUCAAGAAGAAUGGAGAGUUCAUGGGCAUCACCCUCCUGCUACUAGAUGAAAAGGACGUGUGAGAAAUUUUGUAAGCCGCUGAUGCAGUGGUUGGGACAUGUGAAUGUGUACUCUUAUUGACUCGGUCCUGUCGAUUUGGUAGCAGGGGUUGCAGAACGUCAAUGGAGUUAAUCCCAUUUGUUGAGUGAGAAGAAGGCAAAGAGGCUAGAGGAUGAUUCAGUAAAACAAAUGAUCCCAACUUCUGCCACAUGGUUUGAUGUGUGCGAGUCAGCUAAACAAUGCUCAGUCCCUCCAUUUCAGUGUUCAAUCACGCCAGGCCAGUCUCAAAUUUAAGCAUUGUUUGUGUGUUGCUUUUGGUACUGCUCAGUUUUCAUUUUAUCUUUGUUCUUUGUUGUCUUUUCUUCUCAUUAGUAGAUGUAGAUAAUAUAACCUGUCAAAUUCCUUUGUGACUAUAGAAGUACAAUACUUAUGAGACUAUGAUCUAGAGAGAGGCUAGCGAAUUUUUCGUGUGUGGGCAAUCUAUGGUAGAGCAAUCUGGUAUA